GAUGAACGCUGGCGGCGUGCCUAAUACAUGCAAGUCGAGCGAACGGACGAGAAGCUUGCUUCUCUGAUGUUAGCGGCGGACGGGUGAGUAACACGUGGAUAACCUACCUAUAAGACUGGGAUAACUUCGGGAGACCGUAGCUAAUACCGGAUAAUAUUUUGAACCGCAUGGUUCAAAAGUGAAAGACGGUCUUGCUGUCACUUAUAGAUGGAUCCGCGCUGCAUUAGCUAGUUGGUAAGGUAACGGCUUACCAAGGCAACGAUGCAUAGCCGACCUGAGAGGGUGAUCGGCCACACUAGAACUGAGACACGGUCCAGACUCCUACGGGAGGCAGCAGUAGGGAAUCUUCCGCAAAGGGCGAAAGCCUGACGGAGCAACGCCGCGUGAGUGAUGAAGGUCUUCGGAUCGUAAAACUCUGUUAUUAGGGAAGAACAUAUGUGUAAGUAACUGUGCACAUCUUGACGGUACCUAAUCAGAAAGCCACGGCUAACUACGUG
rnacentral:rRNA from 1 species